AUUGAACGCUGGCGGCAGGCCUAACACAUGCAAGUCGAGCGGAUGACGGGAGCUUGCUCCUUGAUUCAGCGGCGGACGGGUGAGUAAUGCCUAGGAAUCUGCCUGGUAGUGGGGGACAACGUUUCGAAAGGAACGCUAAUACCGCAUACGUCCUACGGGAGAAAGCAGGGGACCUUCGGGCCUUGCGCUAUCAGAUGAGCCUAGGUCGGAUUAGCUAGUUGGUGGGGUAAUGGCUCACCAAGGCGACGAUCCGUAACUGGUCUGAGAGGGUGAUAAGUCACCCUGGGGCUGAGACACGGUCCAGACUCCGACGGGAGGCAGCAGUGGGGAAUAUUGGACAAUGGGCGAAAGCCUGAUCCAGCCAUGCCGCGUGUGUGAAGAAGGUCUUCGGAUUGUAAAGCACUUUAAGUUGGGAGGAAGGGCAGUAAGUUAAUACCUUGCUGUUUUGACGUUACCGACAGAAUAAGCACCGGCUAACUCUGUGCCAGCCGCCGCAGUAACAC
rnacentral:rRNA from 1 species